AUGAGGGACAAAAGAGGGCCCCUUGGCACCUGCCUGGCACCAGUGCAGCGGGCCGGAGGAGGUGAUUUGGACAAACUGUUACACAGCCUUAAGAAAAGAAUGCUGAAGGAGGGCCCCAGGCCUGCAGAUGCACCCUCCUGGAUCAAUAAGCCUGCGGUUGACAGAAAGUCACAGAGUGCUGCAUUAUCACUGGAAAUGAGAAAGGAUCCUAGUGGGGCUGGCCUCUGGCUUCACAGUGGUAACCCAGUGUUUCCACAUGUGAAAGAAUUAAUAAGAAGAAAUCUAGCCUCAGUAGCCACUCCGAGCGCAGCCAUGGGUUUGUUCUCUGCUCCAACAGAGUGUUUUGCUGGGGUGUCCUGCAGUGGUGUUGAAGCUCUGAGGUGGGACUGGCAAGGAGGAGGGCCUGAGGCCGACGGCCACAGAGGACAGUGCCCCAAAGGAGAGCCUCAGGUGUCAGGACUGCCACACCAUCAAAAACUGCUGGAAAUGGGAAGUUGUCAGGAUGACCCACCAAGUGAUUUUCCCGAGGGUCUGGGCUCUGAGUUGGAACCCUCUUGCCUGCACUCCGUCCUGUCUGCAGUGCUGCACGUGUGUCUAGAAGUGCUCCUGGAUGAUGAGACAGAACGAGUUUUCCUUGACUGUUAAAGCCCAUGUUUUCAAAGCAAACAAUAGAAUUCAAGAAAAUGCUUAAAAGCACCUCAAAUGGUCUCCAGAUGACACUGGGGUUACUGGUUCUGCAACCUUUUGAAUUAGCAAAAUCAUUAUGCCAUAGUUAA